rnacentral:snRNA from 1 species
GGAUGUGAGGGCAAUCUGGCUGCAACAUCUGUCAUCCCAAUGACCACCAGGGUUGGUGUGGCUGAUCUGACUAGCUAGGCAGGUAUCUCCCUCCCUCAACAUUCCAUGUGCGUCCCUCCGGAAGCUGUGUGCUCAGAGAGGACACCAUCCCCAAUAAAGGAGGGCAGUUCUUCAGUCAAGGAUAUACGAGUAGCUGUGCUUUCCUGCUACAACCUCCAAACAAGCUCUCAAGAAAGAAAAUGGAGUUUGUCAGUUAAUUUAAGAGGAUUGUGUUUAAAAACCAGGAUGUGUAUUCAGUUUUU